GAGUUUGAUCGUGGCUCAGAUUGAACGCUGGCGGCAGGCCUAACACAUGCAAGUCGAGCGGUAGAGAGAAGCUUGCUUCCCUUGAGAGCGGCGGACGGGUGAGUAAUGCCUAGGAAUCUGCCUGGUAGUGGGGGGAUAACGCUCGGAAACGGACGCUAAUACCGCAUACGUCCUACGGGAGAAAGCAGGGGACCUUCGGGCCUUGCGCUAUCAGAUGAGCCUAGGUCGGAUUAGCUAGUUGGUGAGGUAAUGGCUCACCAAGGCGACGAUCCGUAACUGGUCUGAGAGGAUGAUCAGUCACACUGGGACUGAGACACGGUCCAGACUCCUACGGGAGGCAGCAGUGGGGAAUAUUGGACAAUGGGCGAAAGCCUGAUCCAGCCAUGCCGCGUGUGUGAAGAAGGUCUUCGGAUUGUAAAGCACUUUAAGUUGGGAGGAAGGGCAGUAAAUUAAUACUUUGCUGUUUUGACGUUACCGACAGAAUAAGCACCGGCUAACUCUGUGCCAGCCGCCG
rnacentral:rRNA from 1 species